AUUGAACGCUGGCGGCAGGCCUAACACAUGCAAGUCGAACGAGUGGCGGACGGGUGAGUAAUGUCUGGGAAACUGCCCGCUGGAGGGGGAUAACUACUGGAAACGGUAGCUAAUACCGCAUACCAUCGGAUGUUCCCAGAUGGGAUUGGCUAGUAGGUGGGGUAACGGCUCACCUAGGCGACGAUCCCUAGCUGGUCUGAGAGGAUGACCCGCCACACUGGAACUGAGACACGGUCCAGACUCCUACGGGAGGCAGCAGUGGUGAAUAUUGCAGAAUGGGCGAAAGCCUCAUGCAGACAUGCCGCGUGUAUGAAGAAGGCCUUCGGGUUGUAAAGUACUUUCAGCGAGGAGGCGUUAUUCGCAGAAGAAGCACAGGCAAUCGCCGUGCCAGCAGCCGCGGUAUUAC
rnacentral:rRNA from 1 species